rnacentral:sRNA from 1 species
UGGGGCCGGCGGGAUUUGAACCCGCGAUCACCAGGGCCCAAGCCUGGCGUCCUAGU